rnacentral:piRNA from 1 species
UCCUAACUAUGGGCUCCAGGCACCAAGGC